AACCGAAGUCAUAUGCUUAACGACUGAGCCACCCAGGUGCCCCUUAAGUGAAAUAUUAAAAACAACUUCAUUAACUGUUCUUAGAACAAUGGUGUGGACGUGGCGGCCACGAUGCUGGCCCAGUUUCCCGGCUUGCAAGUGGGCCCCACUCUAAAGCUGUGGAGAGAGGGCACCUCUCUAGCUCCCUGUGCAGUUCUUCCCUGUGGUCUGGAACCAGGCCGUCUCUGCUCUGGGGAAGCAUCCAGAAGCGGCGUUUCUCAACAGGAUCCAUAGGUGGACUGAGAGUCCCUGCUGCUGGUCCUACACCAGCUUUGCAUUGCUCAGUGCUCCUCCCUUUGGACUCCCACGCGAGGAAUGCUGCUAAACGCGUCCGCUUUCCCACCUCCCCUGCCCUGCGCCCACAGCCAUCUGGUUCCUGGAGGCUGAAAGAAUACUCCUGUAUUGUCUCCAGGAUUUCCUUCCAAGCCACAGAAACCCAUACCAGAGUACCGCUUGGCUUGCAUAGGCAAUGAGAACUCCA